rnacentral:rRNA from 1 species
AGAGUUUGAUCCUGGCUCAGAACGAACGCUGGCGGCAGGCUUAACACAUGCAAGUCGAGCGCCCCGCAAGGGGAGCGGCAGACGGGUGAGUAACGCGUGGGAAUCUACCUUUUGCUACGGAAUAACUCAGGGAAACUUGUGCUAAUACCGUAUGUGCCCCCCUUUAAAAUUUCAGGAUACCUAAAAUGCCCUGGCAUUUUAUGGGGGGGGAAAGAUUUAUCGGCAAAGGAUGAGCCCGCGUUGGAUUAGCUAGUUGGUGGGGUAAAGGCCCACCAAGGCGACGAUCCAUAGCUGGUCUGAGAGGAUGAUCAGCCACACUGGGACUGAGACACGGCCCAGACUCCUACGGGAGGCAGCAGUGGGGAAUAUUGGACAAUGGGCGCAAGCCUGAUCCAGCCAUGCCGCGUGAGUGAUGAAGGCCCUAGGGUUGUAAAGCUCUUUCACCGGUGAAGAUAAUGACGGUAACCGGAGAAGAAGCCCCGGCUAACUUCGUGCCAGCCGCCGCGGUAAUAC